AUUGAACGCUGGCGGCAUGCCUUACACAUGCAAGUCGAACGGCAGCACGGGGGCAACCCUGGUGGCGAGUGGCGAACGGGUGAGUAACAUAUCGGAACAUACCCUAGAGUGGGGGAUAACGUAGCGAAAGUUACGCUAAUACCGCAUACGAUCUAAGGAUGAAAGUGGGGGAUCUUCGGACCUCAUGCUCAUGGAGUGGCCGAUAUCUGAUUAGCUAGUUGGUGAGGUAAAGGCUCACCAAGGCGACGAUCAGUAGCUGGUUUGAGAGAACGACCAGCCACACUGGAACUGAGACACGGUCCAGACUCCUACGGGAGGCAGCAGUGGGGAAUUUUGGGACAAUGGGGGCAACCCUGAUCCAGCAAUGCCGCGUGAGUGAAGAAGGCCUUCGGGUUGUAAGACG
rnacentral:rRNA from 1 species